GAUGAACGCUAGCGGCAGGCCUAACACAUGCAAGUCGAGGGAGAAGCCCUUUCGGGGGCCGCAACCGGCGCACGGGUGCGUAACGCGUAUGCAACCUACCUUUCACAGGGGGAUAGCCAGAAGAAAUUUGGAUUAAUACCCCAUAAUAUUAUUGGAUGGCGUCAUUUGAUAAUUAAAACUGCGGUGGUGAAAGAUGGGCAUGCGUCCUAUUAGCUGGUUGGAGUGGUAACGGCAACCAAGGCUACGAUAGGUAGGGGUCCUGGAAGGGAGAUCCCCCAUACUGGUACAGGGACAGCCAGCAGACUACUGCGGGAGGCAGCAGUGUGGAAUAGUGGGCAAUGGUCGGAAGUAUGAAACAGCCAUGCCGCGUGCAGGAAGAAUGCCUUAUGGGUAGUAAGCAGCUUUUAGAUGGGAAGAAUGAGGUGUAAGUGUACGUUGAUGACGGUACCAUAUGAAUAAGCAUCGGCUAACUACGUG
rnacentral:rRNA from 1 species